rnacentral:lncRNA from 1 species
GGGUUAGAAACAGAAGACAAAAUCAUCAAAAUAUAAACCGAAGGCUUCAAAACUAGAUAGAUCAUCAAAGGUUAUCAGUAUAUAGUUUUAUAUCAUGAACGGAGAGAAAAAUUUGUGCGAGCAUGAAUUUAUUUUAUCAGGUUAUUAGUGUCGUAAACUCUUGAUAACUACAUUGGUUUAGUAGCAGGAAGUUUCAAGCAAAGGCCACCUGUCCUCUAGCCAGCAGAGAUAGCACGAAGUCAUGAACAUACAUGGGUAAACCGAGACCUCAGAUAAAUGUAUAAGAUGGAGAAAUGUCUAAGAUAAAUGACAGCAAUAUACAACACUAAAGAUGCAUGUUAAAAAAGGAUUAUGGCCUCUGAAGUAGGACUAUCAAGCCAGUACUGCAGGCUUCAACUUAUAAUGCAAAAAUUUGUAAACCUUUUGUUCUGUCUCGUUAAACUUCUUCAAAUAGAUUCCUUUUUCAGUCACAUCAGCAAUCUGCCAAGAAAAUGGACGAGGGUUUUCAAUUCCUUCCGUUACAUUUAUUAAGCAAAGUCAAGCAUUGGUGCCCAUGAUAAUAUCCAAGUUAGAUGCCCGUAUCAACCUUAAGUUGUGUUGCCUCCAUUCUUCCCUUCUUCACAUCAAUUACAUGUAACAAGAAAAACAGGGGUAAGAAAUAGUAAAGGCAGGCAUACUUCCAAAUCCCAAAUACUUCAGAUAACUAUGCUUACUGAUUCACUAGUCAACUACAUGUACAAUGUUAAUGAUGUUCCUACUAAA